rnacentral:misc_RNA from 1 species
AACCUUAUGGACCUGCGGGCGUAUACCUGCGGAAGGAUCAUUAUCGAGUUGCAAAACUCCAACCCUUUGUGAACAUACCUCAGUCGUUGCUUCGGCGGUGGACGGCCUGUUUUUCGGAACGGCCGGAAGCCGCCGGAGGUUCCAAACUCGUAUUUUUUAGUGUAUCUCUGAGCCUGAAAACAAAUAAUCAAAACUUUUAACAACGGAUCU